rnacentral:rRNA from 1 species
GGAGGACGNGACUUCGGUCUGAGUGGCGAAAUGGCGAACGGGAUGAUAUAAUAUAUCGGAACAUACCCAGGGAGUGGGNGAUAACUAGUCCGAAAUGAUCAAGCUNAGACCUGCNUACAGUAUCUGUGGAUGAANGCAUGAGUGAUCUUCGNACCUUGUGCUANUGGAGUGGNCNAUAUCUGAUGAGCUAGUUGGUAGGGUAAAAGCCUACCAAGUGCGNCGAUCAGUAAGCGGGAUCUGAAAGGACUACCACCCGCNCUGGAACUGAGACACGGUCCAAACUCAUACGGGAGGCAGCAGUGGGGAAUUUUGGACAAUGGGGGCAACCCUGAUCCAGCAAUGCCGCGUGAGUGAAGAAGGCCCUCGGGUUGUAAAGCUCUUUUGUCAGGGAAGAAACGGAGUUCUCUAAUAUAGGAUUCUAAUGACGGUACCUGAAGAAUAAGCACCGGCUAACUACGUGCCAGCAGCCGCGGUAAUACGUAGGGUGCAAGCGUUAAUCGGAAUUACUGGGCGUAAAGCGUGCGCAGGCGGUUUUGUAAGUCUGAUGUGAAAUCCCCGGGCUCAACCUGGGAACUGCAUUGGAGACUGCAAGGCUAGAGUGUGUCAGAGGGGGUAGAAUUCCACGUGUAGCAGUGAAAUGCGUA